rnacentral:rRNA from 1 species
AUUGAACGCUGGCGGCAUGCUUUACACAUGCAAGUCGAACGGCAGCGCGGGCUUCGGCCUGGCGGCUAGUGGCGCACGGGUGAGUAAUGCAUCUGAACGUGCCCCGUAGUGGGGGAUAGCCCGGCGAAAGCCGGAUUACUACCGCCUACUACCUGCUGGUGCUACCUGGUGACCGAAAGGCCUCUCGCUAUUGGAGCGGCCGAUGUCGGAUUUGCUAGUUGGUGGGGUAAAGGCUUACUUAGCCGACGAUCCGUAGCUGGUCUGAGAGGACGACCGGCCACACUGGGACUGAGACACGGACAAGACUACUAAGGGAGGCAGCAGUGGGGAAUGGGAGACAAUGGGGGCAACCAUGAUCCAGCCAGGCCGCGUGCGGGAAGAAGGCCUUCGGGUUGUAAACAGCUUUUGUUGGGGAAGAAAUCCUCUGGGCUAAUACCCAGGGGGGAUGACGGUACCGGAAGAAUAAGCACCGGCUAACUACGUG